CUUCACACCACUGCGUGAACUAUGGGAAGAUGCUCUGGUGCUGGGGCAGGGCUCUGGCCACAAGUUUUCCGCAGCCUUUUCUUUAUUUUCUGAGAAGCUCCGGUCCCUUCAUCGCUUCCAGUCACACAGCAACACCCUGCUCAGUGGCAGAGCGUGGAUGGAGGUGCGUGCAGUUCAUCUGCUCAUCACUGGUGUGUGCUGAAUUCACCUAUUUCCCAUGCACAUCAAGAAAGAAUUGUCUCUCAUCACCAUCAUCACCACCACGAUCACCGAGAUGCUCCCUACAAACAGCAGGACACAUCUCAAGCCCCAUCUGUUGCUGGCUCUGGAGUGGCUGUGUAUUCCUACGUGCCAAUACCUCGUAGCAAAUUCUCACCCCUACACCCACAGAGCUUCCUUGUGAGGGAUUUUGUCAGAAGUUUCAAUGACUGAGGCCAGCACGUCUCACCCUCCUACGUACCGUCCUGUUGAUGUCGCAGAGUAGAUCAAUAACUAUAAGCUCAGGAAGAAUUGUUUGCACCUAAAGGAGGCUGAGUGGUUAACCACAGUGACCCAUUUCUUCACAGGCACAGAAUCAUCAUCUCACACCAGGCCACUAGAGCAAGGUGACAUUCUGUCUGACAGCACACUGACACUGACAGGUGACACCAGAUUAUUCCUGCAGCACUGCAAGAGUAAACCCCCUGAGAAGGUUGCUUCAGUGGCCCAAGGAAUGCCACACGUAAAUUGGGGAUUUCAUAGGCUUAUCCUGCACCUUGUCCCUUCUUGUGCUGUGUCGGAUCAACAGCAACCAAUGCAGAGAAAGACUGCCUUAAUAUUGAGGUGUCACUUCAGUCUGCUUCUUGUAUCACCUCACUAGAGCCACACAUUGUUGCUGUUGGUUUCCACUGGGCAAGCACAGAUGAAGGCUCAUUGCAAUGAGGUUUUCUGCACAAAAGGUGACUGUUAAGGUCAAGUCCUACAUUAGGCAGCAGUUUGUAUUUUGUACUGUGUCCUGCGGUUGGAUUUUUUGCCUAUAUGUCCUUGUGUACUAUUGAAAACUACACUUCACUGCCAUUUCUUGAGCUGACGCAGGCAAUAGGCUGUGACGUGAGCUAUCCCAAAUCUAGUUUGCGUCCUUCACAACUAAGUCUUGUAGGUUGUCCAGCUUCUCCAGAUUUUUUGUAUCGCCUGUACCAAAUGCUCACCUACCUUCCACUUUUACUAGAGCUAAGUAGGUUCAUUUACGCCCACAGCAAAUCUUGUUUUCUAAUGAAUAGAUGAACAGAGAAUCAUGCAAUCGUAGAAUCAUUAAUGUUGGAAAGACUUCUAAGGUCAUCUAACCCAACUGUCAGUGAAUCAUCGCCAUGCCCACUCACCACAUCCCUCAGUGCCACAUCUACAUGGUUCUUGAACACCUCCAGGGACAGUGACUCCAUCACCUGCCUGGGCAGCCUGUGCCACUGCCCCGCUGCUCUUUCUGAGAAAAAAAUAAAAUAAAUUCCUAAU
ensembl:lncRNA